GACGAACGCUGGCGGCGUGCCUAAUACAUGCCAGUAGAACGCUGAAGGAAGGAGCUUGCUCUUUCUGGAUGAGUUGCGAACGGGUGAGUAACGCGUAGGUAACCUGCCUGGUAGCGGGGGAUAACUAUUGGAAACGAUAGCUAAUACCGCAUAAAAUUGAUUAUUGCAUGAUAGUCAAUUAAAAGGUGCAACUGCACCACUACCAGAUGGACCUGCGUUGUAUUAGCUAGUUGGUGGGGUAACGGCUCACCAAGGCGACGAUACAUAGCCGACCUGAGAGGGUGAUCGGCCACACUGGGACUGAGACACGGCCCAGACUCCUACGGGAGGCAGCAGUAGGGAAUCUUCGGCAAUGGACGGAAGUCUGACCGAGCAACGCCGCGUGAGGGAAGAAGGUUUUCGGAUCGUAAAGCUCUGUUGUAAGAGAAGAACGAGUGUGAGAGUGGAAAGUUCACACUGUGACGGUAUCUUACCAGAAAGGGACGGCUAACUACGUG
rnacentral:rRNA from 1 species